CCUACGGGAGGCUGCAGUGGGGGAUAUUGCACAAUGGGGGGAACCCUGAUGCAGCGACGCCGCGUGAGUGAAGAAGUAUUUCGGUAUGUAAAGCUCUAUCAGCAGGGAAGAUAAUGACAGUACCUGAAUAAGAAGCCCCGGCUAACUACGUGCCAGCAGCCGCGGUAAUACGUAGGGGGCAAGCGUUAUCCGGAUUUACUGGGUGUAAAGGGAGCGUAGACGGAACGGCAAGUCUGAAGUGAAAACCCGUGGCUCAACCGCGGGACUGCUUUGGAAACUGUCGAUCUAGAGUGUCGGAGAGGUAAGUGGAAUUCCUGGUGUAGCGGUGAAAUGCGUAGAUAUCAGGAAGAACACCGGAGGCGAAGGCGGCUUACUGGACGAAGACUGACGUUGAGGCGCGAAAGCGGGGGAAGCAAACAGGAUUAGAUACCCGGUAGUC
rnacentral:rRNA from 1 species